UGCAAGUCGAACGGUAACAGAACUAGCUUGCUAGUUGCUGACGAGUGGCGGACGGGUGAGUAAUACCUAGGGAUCUGCCUCUGUGUGGGGGAUAACUAUUGGAAACGAUAGCUAAUACCGCAUAACGUCUACGGACCAAAGAGGGCUUCGGCUCUCGCGCAGAGAGGAACCUAAGCGAGAUUAGCUUGUUGGUGAGGUAAAGGCUCACCAAGGCGACGAUCUCUAGCUGUUCUGAGAGGAAGAUCAGCCACACUGGAACUGAGACACGGUCCAGACUCCUACGGGAGGCAGCAGUGGGGAAUAUUGCACAAUGGGGGCAACCCUGAUGCAGCCAUGCCGCGUGUGUGAAGAAGGCCUUCGGGUUGUAAAGCACUUUCAGUUGUGAGGAAAGGUUAGUAGUUAAUACCUGCUAGCUGUGACGUUAACAACAGAAGAAGCACCGGCUAACUCCGUGCCAGCAGCCGCGGUAAUACGGAGGGUGCGAGCGUUAAUCGGAAUUACUGGGCGUAAAGCGCACGCAGGCGGUCUGUUAAGCUAGAUGUGAAAGCCCCGCGCUCAACGUGGGAGGGUCAUUUAGAACUGGCAGACUAGAGUCUUGGAGAGGGGAGUGGAAUUCCAGGUGUAGCGGUGAAAUGCGUA
rnacentral:rRNA from 1 species